rnacentral:rRNA from 11 species
AGGAAAAGAAAUCAACCGAGAUUCCCUAAGUAGCGGCGAGCGAACGGGGACUAGCCCUUAAGCUGGACAACUGGUAGGAGAAGGCUCUGGAAAGUGCCGCCAUAGUGGGUGAUAGCCCCGUAUCCGAAACCUGAGUCUAGUGAAAUCGAGUAGGACGGGACACGUGGUAUCCUGUCUGAAUAUGGGGGGACCAUCCUCCAAGGCUAAAUACUCGUUGCCGACCGAUAGUGAAUCAGUACCGUGAG